UACAGAGGUCUCAAGCGUUGUUCGGAUUCAUUGGGCGUAGAGGGCGCGUAGGCGGCAAGGCAAGUCGGGUGUGAAAGCUUGGGGCUUAACCCCGAAAGGGCACUCGAAACUGCCCUGCUAGAGGGCCGGAGAGGAGAUCGGAAUUCACGGUGUAGCAGUGAAAUGCGUAGAGCUCGUGAGGAAGACCGGUGGCGAAGGCGGAUCUCUGGACGGCCCCUGACGCUGAGGCGCGAAGGCUAGGGGAGCAAACGGG
rnacentral:rRNA from 1 species